UAAUAAAAUAUAUCUUUCAUGCAGAACUCUCCGUCUUCAGUCAUUCAAAUAAUAUGUUUAGAUAUUAAGGAGGCUGUAUGUUUGUAUUAUCACAGCACUAUAAUAAAAGGGGGGUCCUCAGAAUCCAUUGUGAGACUAAAAACGUCAUAAGUGUCGUCAAUAACAACGACGAGACAGCCUAUAGACAGACAAGAAGCGCAGUGUCUAACAGCGAUGUGCAGCGGAAACAACCUGGAGCUGAACACGACGUCAUAGAGGAUUUUAUAAAGGUUUUAUUUGUUCCCUGUGACUGUUAUACUGUCUACCUCUGUGUACUAUGUAGACCUACUAUAUGUGAGAGAGCUCCAAAUAAAAAUUCCAAUAUAUUACUUUUAAUAGGUACUUGCAAAUGGCAAAUAUACUACUUGAAUAAAAAUGGAUUAAACUACUUGAAUACAAUGUAGAAAAGCUUCUGAUUGAGUUUGG
ensembl:lncRNA